GCGUGGCUGCAGGUUUACUAUGGGCUCUGUAGGAUUGAGUCACAGUUUUAACCGCAGCAGUAGAAUCAUCCCUGCAGCCCCAAUAAAAAGAUGCUGUACCUCAUUUCCAGACCAAUGCCAGCUGCGAGGAGGUUGCCGAUUGAAGCGAGUGGGGAAUCUGAGCAUGUGGAGGCAGACAGACAGGGUGAGCAGGAGAAUCAUGGGUUGUGGAAGAGUGUUACUGACACAAAUACGACUGGGAGGAAAUCUGACUUGGCACUAUGGAAACACGCCCCCCUUCCGUCUCCUAGUAAAACUCCCAGAAUACCAGGUGAGGCAACAGAUUAAAACCUGCACAGUCUAAAACCUUGUCCCUCUCCUGAGGACCAAGGGAGCUGUGCAGUAGACAUGAGGACAGUCUGCUCACACAUUCCUAACGCCAUCAUGGACCAGCAGACAGACAUUUUUACAGAAAUACUAUGAUGUGUUUCCCAGAUUUGAUUAUUAUUGUUAUACUGCAUCUCUUUGUGUAUUAGAGGAAGGGCAGCUUCCAAGCUGGCCUGCUGCACUACCAUCUCACAGCACACUUAUUAACAGUAAAUUGGUUCCAUUCUUAGAUUAUUAGCUGUACUGCUAUAGACAUGGGUAGACACAACAUAUUGUGAUAUUUAUCAUAAGAAAUUGGAAUAUCUUCCCCCUUUUUAUUUUUCAUAGACUGUGCUCAUGGCAGGGGCUGUCCCCUGAGCUGUAACUGUCCAUCAGAGGAAGUGAACAUAACCAAAUCCCCGAUCAGUCUUCACUGUCCACUGCUCCUCGUCUCUGCUAGUGUACAGUACAUUAUACUACCAGGAACACUUCUGAUUGUUAAUCUGAGGUGAUGUACACCAUAAUCUGAGAGUUUUAAUAUAUGAUGCUGACUGAGUGUAAUUUGUGUGUGUGUUGGACAGCAUUAGUGGGGCUGUCUCUCCCCUGUGUUGGUGUCUCUGGUGUCGCCUUACUGACGGACAGCCCCUGCCUCAGCAGCUGCAGGUCCUGGCUGACUGUCACUUGUGGGCCUACAGAUAAAACAGGAUCAUGCGUACAUGCCUGUGUAUACAGAACAUUUACUGAUAAUACUCCUAUACAAACUAAAUGUUUACUUUUAUUUCAAUGUUAUUUUUGAGAGUGAUGAUUGAGUUCAUGUGCUAGUUCAAAGAAGAGGUGUCAUGCCCCGUUCCCUCUGCCCCGCCUCUGCUCCUGGAAGCCUGUCUGCACUGUGUAUGGGAGGGCCAGGGGAGUGGCCAGGGCACUCUGGCAGAGCAGCACAGACAGCUGCUGGUGUUUCUGCUGUUCCUCUGUGUGAUCGACCUCCUCACAAUUUUUCUCACACCCUAGCCUGGUCCCCCAUCUUAACUCAGAUGUUGGAGAGGACAUUGAAGGCCCCAGGGUUCCUGUGCUCUGCUACUCAUCCUUUAUCAAGCUCUUUAUGGAUGGCCAGACUUCUUUCCCUGUGACCGAGCACCCAACUGAUGAGAUGGACCCCUCCCAGAUUCUGACCCGGGCCCAGUAGGUACUUCUGAAGAAUCUCUGACAUCCCCAACCUCACUGUCUCAACAUCAGCUGAACCAGCUGGAGGUCUUAUGUGUUGACCUGGAAGCAGCUCUGAUCUUUCAACUCAGCCCUUUCAGCCUCAGCCAAGAGUUGGACUUCCUCUGCAUUAGGAAAGUAUUCAGACACCUUGACUUUUUUCAUAUUUUGUUACGUUAGCCUUAUUCUAAAAUGGAUGAAAUCAU